CCUACGGGUGACUGCAGUAGGGAAUUUUCGGCAAUGGGCGGAACCCUGACCGAGCAACGCCGCGUGAACGAAGAAGGUCUUCGUGUUUUAAAGUUCUUUUUACAGGGAAGAAAGAGAAAUUUGACGUUACCUGUAGAAUGAGCUCCGUCUAACUACGUGCUCUCACCCGCGGUAAUCCGUAGGGAGCGGGCGUUAUCCGGAAUCAUUGGGCGUAAGGGGUGCGUAGAUGGCAUAGUAAGUAUUUUGUAAAAAUGCUGGGCCAAACACAGUAGGGCAAAAGAAACUGGAAAGCUAGAGUAUGACAGAGGUAAGUGGAAUUACAGGUGUAGCGGUAAAAUGCGUAGAUA
rnacentral:rRNA from 1 species